GGAUGAAGAACGUAGCGAAAUGCGAUAAGUAAUGUGAAUUGCAGAAUUCAGUGAAUCAUCGAAUCUUUGAACGCACAUUGCGCCCGCCAGUAUUCUGGCGGGCAUGCCUGUUCGAGCGUCAUUUCAACCCUCAAGCCCCAGCGGCCUGGUGUUGGGGACCGGCGACCUCGCCCGAGCCCGCCCUCCGGGGCGCGUGCCCGGUGCGUCCGCCGCCCCCGAAAUGAAUUGGCGGCCUCGUCGCGGCCUCCUCUGCGUAGUAGCACAACCUCGCAAGCGGGAGCGCGACGCGGCCACUGCCGUAAAACGCCCAACUUUUUUAGAGUUGACCUCGGAUCAGGUAGGAAUACCCGCUGAACUUAAGCAUAUCAAUAAGCGGAGGA
rnacentral:misc_RNA from 1 species